rnacentral:rRNA from 1 species
UUGGAGGCUUGUUUGAAUGGUUUGACGGAGUAAUAUUUAAUAUUUGAUUUAUUAUUGAAAUUAGUAUAUAGGUUCAGAACCCUAUUUAAUUAAUUAGACGGAAAGACCCCGGGAUCUUUUAUUUUGCCUGGGGCAGGUGUUAGUGUAUCAUUAAUAUUUUGUUCCUAGUUGAGAAUAGUGAUUUAAGUUACCCCGGGGAUAACAGUGUAAUAAUUAAGUAGAGAUCUUAUCGAAUUAAUUGUUUGCCACCUCGAUGUUGACUUAGGUGAAAUUUAGGCGCAGUAGUUUAAAUGUUAGGUCUGUUCGACCUUUUAACCUUCAUGAGUUGAGUUAAGACCGGUGUGAACCAGGUCGGUUCUUAUCUAUUUGUGAAGCUUAUUAGUACGAAAGGACCGUAAGUUUUUUUGUUAAGUAUGUAGCUUGGUGCCUUGGCUUUGCAAAAGCUAAUGAGAAAGUUUCCAUACUGUUUAACUAUGGCAAUAGGAAGUUUUAUCAUAUUAAUUGCAUAAAAAAUUUUUGUGUUAAUUAAACUGAAGAUUUGUUUAUUUUAUUAGCAGUUAGUCUUUUAUUAUGAUGUCAGUCUUUUAAGAAUAUGAUAUAGAAAGGGGAGAGGACACAGUGCCAGCAUCUGCGGUUAGUCUGUUUUCUUUGCUUUUAAAUGGAUAGCAUCUAAAUAUUAAUAUACAAGUUUAGGUGAAAUUUACUUGUUUAAAUGUUUAAUAUUUAGUUUAUAGUAAAUAGUUGUUAAUAACAGGGAUUAGAUACCCCAUUAAUUUAUUAGGUUAAUUU